GCCUUAAUAGCUUAACAGGUUAAAAGUACAGAACUGAAAAUUCUGGGUAGGAUGUUCGAGUCAUCCUUGAGGCA